GAUGAACGCUGGCGGCGUGCCUAAUACAUGCAAGUCGAGCGAACAGACGAGGAGCUUGCUCCUCUGACGUUAGCGGCGGACGGGCGAGUAACACGUGGAUAACCUACCUAUAAGACUGGGAUAACUUCGGGAAACAGGAGCUAAUACCGGAUCAUAUAUUGAACCGCAUGGUUCAAUAGUGAAAGACGGUUUUGCUGUCACUUAUAGAUGGAUCCGCGCCGCAUUAGCUAGUUGGUAAGGUAACGGCUUACCAAGGCAACGAUGCGUAGCCGACCUGAGAGGGUGAUCGGCCACACUGGAACUUAGACACGGUCCAGACUCCUACGGGAGGCAGCAGUAGGGAAUCUUCCGCAAUUGGCGAAAGCCUGACGGAGCAACGCCGCGUGGGUGAUGAAGGGCUUCGGAUCUUAAAACUCUGUUAUUAGGGAAGAACAAAUGUGUAAGUAACUAUGCACGUCUUUACGGUACCUAAUCAGAAAGCCACGGCUAACUACGGG
rnacentral:rRNA from 1 species